rnacentral:rRNA from 1 species
UACGAAGGGGCUAGGCGUUGCUCGGAAUCACUGGGCGUAAAGGGUGCGUAGGCGGGUCGUUUAAGUCAGGGGUGAAAUCCGUGGAAGCUCAACUCCAGAACUGCCCUUUGAUACUGAAGAUCUUGAGUUCGGGAGAGGUGAGUGGAACUGCGAGUGUAGAGGUGAAAUUCGUAGAUAUUCGCAAGAACACCAGUGGCGAAGGCGGCUGACUGGUCCGGUUCUGACGCUGAGGCGCGAAAGCGUGGGGAGCAAACAGG